UGCCAGACUCCUACGGGAGGCAGCAGUGAGGAAUAUUGGUCAAUGGGCGAGAGCCUGAACCAGCCAAGUCGCGUGAAGGAUGACGGCCCUACGGGUUGUAAACUUCUUUUGUCAGGGAGCAAUUGGGUCCACGCGUGGGCUUAGCGAGAGUACCUGAAGAAGAAGCAUCGGCUAACUCCGUGCCAGCAGCCGCGGUAAUACGGAGGAUGCGAGCGUUAUCCGGAUUUAUUGGGUUUAAAGGGUGCGCAGGCGGGAGAUCAAGUCAGCGGUAAAAUGUCGGGGCUCAACCCCGGCCGGCCGUUGAAACUGGUUUUCUAGAGUUGGAGAGAAGUAUGCGGAAUUCGUGGUGUAGCGGUGAAAUGCAUAGAUAUCACGAAGAACUCCGAUUGCGAAGGCAGCAUACCGGCUCCAUACUGACGCUGAGGCACGAAAGCGUGGGGAUCGAACAGGAUUAGAUACCCUUGUA
rnacentral:rRNA from 1 species